CUGCAAGUCGUACGAGAAAUCCUGAGCAAUCGGGAGAGUAAAGUGGCGCACGGGUGAGUAACGCGUGGGUAACCUACCCUUAAAUUUGGGAUAACUUCGCGAAAGCGGGGUUAAUACCGAAUAAUAUUCUAAUUUCUUUGGAAGUUAGAGUCAAAGGUGGCCUCUGCAUGCAAGCUAUCGUUUAAGGAUGGGCCCGCGUACCAUUAGCUUGUUGGUAGGGUAAUGGCCUACCAAGGCAACGAUGGUUAGCUGGUCUGAGAGGAUGGUCAGCCACACUGGAACUGAGACACGGUCCAGACUCCUACGGGAGGCAGCAGUGGGGAAUCUUGCGCAAUGGGGGAAACCCUGACGCAGCAACGCCGCGUGGGUGAUGAAGGCCUUCGGGUCGUAAAGCCCUGUCAGGUGGGAAGAAACUUAUGGAUGUUAAUACCAUUCAUGAUUGACG
rnacentral:rRNA from 1 species